rnacentral:rRNA from 1 species
UACAGAGGGUGCAAGCGUUAAUCGGAAUUACUGGGCGUAAAGCGUGCGUAGACGGUUAUGUAAGUCAGAUGUGAAAGCCCCGGGCUCAACCUGGGAAUUGCAUUUGAGACUGCAUAGCUAGGGUGCGGAAGAGGGAAGCGGAAUUUCCGGUGUAGCGGUGAAAGUGCGUAGAUAUCGGAAGGAACACCAGUGGCGAAAGCGGCUUCCUGGUCCAGCACCGACGUCAGGCACGAAAGCGUGGGGAGCAA